AGCUUUGCACAGUGGCAGUAUCAUAGCCAAUGAGGUUUAUCUGAGAUGUGAUUAUUGGUAACUGAAAACUUUUCCAAAAUUGAGUGCACCUCUGUGCAUCUUCACCAGUGACACCUGAGAAUCAGGGGCCUUACAUCCUCUGGAACCACCAUUAUUGGU
ensembl:snRNA U4 U4 spliceosomal RNA